rnacentral:lncRNA from 1 species
UAUAUUCCUAAAUUUAAGUCUUUUUAGAGAUUCUAAUACAAACUACAUACUUAUGUAUAUAGACAUAUUUUAGAAACAAACUACAUACUUAUGUAUAUAGACAUAUGUUAGAAAAUGUAGAUUCACUUGUUUUGCUCCGUAUGUUAGUCCGCAUUGAAAUAUCUAAAAAUACUUGUAUUUAAGAACGGAGGGAGUAAGGCACAACUCACAAGUUUACAAGGCACAACUCACAAGUUUACAACACAUUUUUCCUGUGUCAGCACAAAAGUCAAAGAAUACAUGGUCUAUAAUAUUAGUCUUACCGGUUGUUCAUAAUUCUAUUAGCAAGAGGGAGAGAGAGAAUCGGCACCCCCAAAUUGUCUUCGUAUGUCUUGCUAUCCCAAAACCCAAGCCAUAUGUGAGGAGGAAAUGGGGUAAGGAUGUCUAUGGACAGCACGCCACAUUAGGCCAAAAAAGGCAUAAUUUUCUAAAAUAUUACUCCCUCUGUAAACUAUAAUAUAAGAGCGUUUAGAUCACUACGCUCUUGUAUUAUUUUACGGAAGGAGUACAAGGCACCCCCAAAGAUAUUGAUGGUAUGAAUUGCUACGAAC